GACGAACGCUGGCGGCGUGCUUAACACAUGCAAGUCGAACGGAAAGGCCCUGCUUGCAGGGUGCUCGAGUGGCGAACGGGUGAGUAACACGUGGGUGAUCUGCCCCUUACUUUGGGAUAAGCCUGGGAAACUGGGUCUAUUACUGGAUAGGACCAUGCUGUAGGUGGUGUGGUGGAAAGAUUAGUUUCGGUAAGGGUUGAGCUCGCGGCCUAUCAGCUUGUUGGUGGGGUAAUGGCCUACCAAGGCGUCGACGGGUAGCCGGCCUGAGAGGGUGGACGGCCACAUUGGGACUGAGAUACGGCCCAGACUCCUACGGGAGGCAGCAGUGGGGAAGAUUGCACAAUGGGCGCAAGCCGGAUGCAGCGACGCCGCGUGGGGGAUGACGGCCUUCGGGUUGUAAACUCCUUUCAGCCAUGACGAAGCCCUUGUGGUGACGGUAGUGGUAGAAGAAGCACCGGCUAACUACGUG
rnacentral:rRNA from 1 species